UACGUAGGGGGCAAGCGUUGUCCGGAAUCAUUGGGCGUAAAGGGUGCGUAGGCGGUCGCGCAAGUCGGAUGUGAAAUCUCAGGGCUCAACCCUGAAACUGCAUUCGAUACUGCGUGGCUAGAGUACUGGAGAGGAGACUGGAAUUUACGGUGUAGCAGUGAAAUGCGUAGAUAUCGUAAGGAAGACCAGUGGCGAAGGCGAGUCUCUGGACAGUAACUGACGCUGAGGCACGAAGGCCAGGGGAGCAAACGGG
rnacentral:rRNA from 1 species